rnacentral:rRNA from 1 species
UACGGAGGGUGCGAGCGUUAAUCGGAAUUACUGGGCGUAAAGGGUGCGUAGGUGGUUAUCUAAGUCAUUUGUGAAAUACCUGGGCUUAACCUGGGCAGGUCAGAUGAGACUGGUUGACUUGAGUAUGGGAGAGGGUAGUGGAAUUUCCGGUGUAGCGGUGAAAUGCGUAGAGAUCGGAAGGAACACCGGUGGCGAAGGCGGCUACCUGGCCUGAUACUGACACUGAUGCACGAAAGCGUGGGGAGCAAACAGG